CCUUUCCAGGAGAGUUACGAGAUUGCGGGUGUGGCCUAUACCUGGCUUGACAGAGUGCUGCAAGACUUGGGUCGAGUGCAUGGCGUAAUUACCCGCUUGUCGGGUUGGGAACCUUGGUGGAUGUCGAGGUCCACCGCUUCUCGGCUGUAGCUCCACGGUUUGGAAGGGCAGCUACACCUGAGAACCCCUUCUAGUCGGACAAUAGGGAUCUCAUUGAAAAUAGGCAACUCGCUGCCGGGAAGGUGAGCCGUGGCAGCCUAGUGAUUCCGGCUGAAAGCAGAGACGAGCUGCCCACUCAGAACGUCAGUUCGAGGGAAGACGGAAACGUGAGCUCCUGGUUACAGGCAGAUCGGGCUCCUUUGGAAACGUGCGGAGGCAAUGGAAAACCCUCCGGAUGCGGGGUAUCUUUGACAGAUGGACUCUGACAGGGAACCGGGCGCCCAGACUGUGUUCCAAUCUUAGACUCGAGAAGGUCUCACCAUAGAGUGACUACCGAGCCCGGGGGGGCCUUCACCCGGAAGAAGCGGAAGGUGGAUUCGACGCGUCCUUUCCGGGUUUCGGUUAGGGUCCCUUGUCAUUUCGAAGUAUCCCAGAAAGACAGGUCCACGUCCAUCAGGCGUAGAAGUGUCUGUACAGAUAAAGUGGCUCGGAGAGAGGCUCUGUCACGGGUCUAGCAAUGCGGAAAGCACGCCCAGCCUUGAAUGGGCUGUUCCUUAAAGCGAUGGAAUCCUGGCAAUAUCAAUGCCGGCGGCAAGUGGCCCCGAAGCCAGCGGCCGAAGGGACAGUAGUCAAGUGGUUGAAGGAACUGGAAGGCCGUGACCCGUCCGCAGGCGGGGGUAUGUACCAGAAUGCUGAAGCGCCUCUGGACACAAAAACCAUUUGUCAGCGGGCCCGGACCAGUGACGCCGGGGGAAAACACUCCCCCGUGGGGAAGAGGGCUUCAAUGCCCCGAUAAAACGGCUCAAGGAAUCUCUCUCAACAGAGCGCGGGGAUCCAUAAGAGAUGGAUGGGUGGACACAGCCAAAGCCCAUGUCCAUGGGAAAACAACUUCCAGCAAGCUCGAAAAGGACCCUCAUACCGUAGUCAAUGUAUGAAGUCGCGGCAUCGUGGACCAUAGUCGGAGCACCUCUUCGUUAGCGAUCAGGUGCCCCGAGUAUGAAGUCGCGACGUCGCGAACCAUGAGCCUGGAGCCGAGCUCCGUAAAAGAGAUGGGGAAGAAUGGGACUUUUUCGUCCCAGUGGAACACAGGAAUUUGGAUAUUGGUAGAAAGUCUAUUGGAUCGGAGGAGGCAGGGAGGCAUGGUUGUUUCCCAUCAUGUCCUUAUAACUGGACAACAGGUAGCUGAUGCGGAAAGCCGGACUAGAAUCCGGGACUGAGUGGGAGGCACCUACUUGGAACGCCUCCUUUGGAACCCAAAAGCCCCGUAACCUAAGAGUGGUUACAAAAGCAAUGAGUUCGGCUGUAAGAGCGAAGGCGAAGUAGCUGGGGGCGAAAGCGCCAACGAAGGGAGAUUCCGCCUUGCGAGGGGAUGGCUACGUAAAACUGUAGGGUGUCGAAGCCGUCUAGCGAAUCGGGGCAAGUAGAAGUCGCGUUCCCGCGAGCUAGUCACUCUAUAAUGCGUGAGAAAUUUCCCACCGACGAAGAUCCGUUUGGAGGACCGACAGAAACGUGGGGGGUGGAGGAAAUAGUGACUCGCCAGUAAAUCCCCGGAAUCGACCACUAGGCCCGACAAAGGGAGAGCUGCUACUUCGAAUAGGGGGUAGCAGAGUGACCGGCUGGAACUGGGGACAAUAAAAACCCAGUAUAGAUCAUAAGUCUCAAACGGAGCUAAACCAUGGCGAGCGCGUCGGGCGUGGCUUUGUCACGAAAUGGGGAUCUACAGGUCAGUUGACGACGCGGAGUUGCGUAAAGCCCCUCUUGGUCGAUCGAGACCCAAGCUCACCGUAAAGUGGGGAUUGGUGUUGAGUAGGCGACUAAGAAGUUGUAGUCAGCCAAGCCUGGAGACGAAUCAAAGUAGGUUCGAAGUAGGACCAGUACCUAUCUAGUGGGUCCAAGCCCAGGUAUUCGUCACUGUUAGCGGGAUAAUUCUGAGCGAAAGCGAUGCCGAAGCCACCCAAGGCAAGGGAAUUGGUUCGGUGACGGAUACUCAGCGGCCGAGUAAGAAGUUGUACGUCCGCCAGUCUCUAGUGAAAGGGGAGGGUGACGAACCCUCGAGUCGUGCCAAAGUGCAAGAUAAAGUGAUGGGUGACCCCCAAGAAAAGUGGAAAGGGAGUGCCAUGAUGAAGCGAUAGCCAGUGGGUCCUCAUAAAUCGGAACGUUCCACCAGGAACGACUAAGUGUGCCCUAAGGUGCACGGGGUACGAUGAGCCCAGUCUCGCAUUCGAUCACUACGAAAGCCGAUGACCUGAAAUCGGUAGAUCCCACGCCGUGAGUUGGCGAAGCGGAUCGUCGUGUUGCGAACAUAACGAGAGGGUGUUGGGGCAAAAGUGCCAAAUCCGACGAGGGUAAAGCGAGCGGCGAUGAUGCCCUUAGCGAAAACGAAAGAAAAGGAGACCGAUGAUUCUACAAAGUCAAGCGGUCCAACAGAGAACGGACGAGUACCUAAGUCGUCCGUCAAAUUUUCCAACUGGAUAAACCCUUAGAGGCCUAGAUACGAAUAAAAGUUGAGGGGCUUCGUAAAGCAGCGAACGAUGCGGGAAGGAGCAGAGACCCACGGAUCCAUAGGUGGCGUUCGGAAAGGAGAAAACUUGGAGCGGUAAUAGCAAUUCCGAUACGGUAGGAUUCCACGAUGAUUUACCUUCCUAGAAUAGUUGCAGGUACUUACACUUUAGUAUCUAGCUUGACGGCUUAACCGUUUUAAGCCACGAUAGCGAUAGUAUCAUAGGCGAUUCAAGUGCCCGACCUCUAUUCGCCUGAGCUUGGCGACUGUAGGCGGUGUCCCAUUUGGUGGCGGAGAGUCCGGAGGGGCUGCCCAAGAUGGUAUCUCCGGUUGCUAUCUGUUAUUGAGGGGGGGCUUGUGUCGAAUGUUGAAAGUAGCAUGACACGAGAGGUUUCUCGUUGAGAAGAGUUUUAGAGUUUUGUUUUCCACGACUCAACCUUAGGGUAAGAUUCCUAAGAACACCAAGGCCCCUUAGGUCAAUGUCCUCUUGGUCCUUGCCCCUCGAGAGGGGAAAAAGGCGGGCUGAGAAACUAGAAUUCUUACGACCAAAAUUCUUGCUCACUAACGGGAAGAGGCUGGGAAUGACGGGUUGGCCUCUCGCCUGCCGAUUACACAAGGUGAAUAACUUGUCCCAGAUACCAGCCAGGCACUGGGGACCUGCGGCUCCCGCAGGAACCCCACUAGAGCAUCAUGGAUGCCCCACCUCUGUUACCCCAGCCAGGUACCUAAAAGGAAGGAAAACGAUGUAAAGCGAGUUUCCCAACUUCCCUCUAUCACGUAGUUCAAUAAGCGUUCCCGGUUGAACUAGGAGAAGGGGUCCCUAGGGUCUACUCCCUUCGGAUCCUCUCGGCGGCUGAGGUUGAUAGCAGGUACAUGCUAGGUAUGAUCUAGACUGGUUGACGGGUAGGAUGGAGGAGAUGGAAAAACUGUCGGGUAGAAAAACAGAGUCAUCUCAGAAAGUCACCGUACAAAGUCAGGAGAAGGGGUAAUGAAUCUUUUUCACUCGGUGGCCAAGUCCAUGUUCUAUGAUAGUAAUGGCGGACCUGUUAAUCUGUCGGUUGGGCAUUAGCGUUGCUGGGUUAACGUUCUCGCCUCGAGAUGGUUGACUCGAUAUAGGGGGGGCUCGGUUCACCUCAUACGUACUUUCUCAGUCUAGGAAGAAGAUAAGAAAAGGGACCGCGUCGACCCGGUAGGACCUGAACUUGGUCUCUGGAGCGGGCACUUCAUUUAGUAGCGGGGAUGCUAGGUUGGUUAACCCUCUCUUAGUUAUCUGAGGAAAAGCCCUCGCUAAGUAGGAAGGGCUUGCGUCGUAUGUUGAGGGGCAACAUGACGCGAGAAGUUCACACGAAGAAGGGGGAAGAGGGAGAAUGGUACCGUUCAGGAACCCUUUAUUGAGGCUACCCGUCUUUUUCCUUCCGCAAUUCUCUGGGAGGACCGGGUUGGGAUCUGUGAGAUUCUAGGAAAAAGUUUGGACGAGACGAGGGUAAAUUCCUUUUUCUUAAAGUGCAAGAAGGACUUUCCUUCCCUCCUAAUCCUUUCAGGAUAACUAACGACGAAAGAGGUCUGGCGGCCCUUUUCGUACUUUUUUUCCGAGCUUACCAUGCUAGGGAGGCAAUGGGGUCUUACUUUCCCCACUAGAGCAUCAAGAACCAGACACUUCUACGCAACAAUCCACGAGGUAAAAGGGUAACUCCUGCUUGGAGUUGGACACGAGCUCUCUAUCGAGAGGUAUGUGACUAUUCCCUACAUACCUAAGAGCUCUUCUCUCCUCGGCACCACCGGGGGGGGGCCUGGCGGGCCUAGGGUGCUCACUUAUCUUUCAAUCUAGAUGU
rnacentral:rRNA from 1 species